rnacentral:rRNA from 1 species
UACAGAGACUGCAAGCGUUAUUCGGAUUCACUGGGCGUAAAGGGUGCGCAGGCGGCCGUGUGUGUGAGGCGUGAAAGCCCGGGGCUUAACCCCGGAAUUGCACCUCAAACUACACGGCUAGAGCAUUGGAGAGGGUAGCAGAAUUCACGGUGUAGCAGUGAAAUGCGUAGAUAUCGUGAGGAACACCAGUGGCGAAGGCGGUUGCCUGGAGCUUUGCUGACGCUGAGGCGCGAAAGCGUGGGGAGCGAUCCGG